rnacentral:sRNA from 1 species
AUAACCAAUCUCCCUCCGUCUCUCUUUGUUUGUUUUUC